AUCCUUCGGUUCAUACAUGUGAUGAUCGGGAGUGUCACAGAUUCUCUGUGACAGGUGUGACCUCAUUGUUACGCAAUGCACCUCAGCCGUCUGAUC
rnacentral:snoRNA from 1 species